rnacentral:rRNA from 1 species
GACGAACGCUGGCGGCGUGCUUAACACAUGCAAGUCGAGCGAUGAAGCUCCUUCGGGAGUGGAUUAGCGGCGGACGGGUGAGUAACACGUGGGUAACCUGCCUCAUAGAGGGGAAUAGCCUUCCGAAAGCAAGAUUAAUACCGCAUAAGAUUGUAGUACCGCAUGGUAUAGCAAUUAAAGGAGUAAUCCGCUAUGAGAUGGACCCGCGUCGCAUUAGCUAGUUGGUGAGGUAACGGCUCACCAAGGCGACGAUGCGUAGCCGACCUGAGAGGGUGAUCGGCCACAUCGGGACUGAGACACGGCCCAGACUCCUACGGGAGGCAGCAGUGGGGAAUAUUGCGCAAUGGGGGAAACCCUGACGCAGCAACGCCGCGUGAAGGAUGAAGGCUUUCGGGUUGUAAAGUUCUUUAGUCGGGGACGAAAUAAUGACGGUACCCGAAGAAUAAGCCACGGCUAACUACGUGCCAGCAGCCGCGGUAA